AGGAACGUGAAUUGAAAACUACAGACUCUCUCUCCCGCCUAGAUGAAGAACUGGAACAGGUUCCUUGUCGUCUUCCACAACCAGGAGAAGAAUGUGACCAAUUCAUAUUCAGGUCUGGACAAAGUUCCUUCUCUUCUCCUCAGCUAAGUUCAGACUCUCCACAGCUUGGUCUUUCUCCACAGAUUAG